rnacentral:lncRNA from 1 species
UCCAUAUAAAAUGGAUUAAUUCAAAAUAUACGAAGUGUCAUCGCUAAUAAUAGUACUCCGCACCAUUUAAUUAUAGUGUAAUCAAAAGCAAACAACAACGUGGAGAAAUUAGGAAGGAGCGAAAGCAGCGGGAAGGUUGAAAUUCAAAGAAAGCAGAGUGGGUAUGGGCGGCAGGCCCCGAAGGACCCAUGAGGCCCCUAAUGCAUUUAGAAUGGAUAUUGACAGAUGCAACACUAAAAGCCGCAGCUGGUGCAUUUCAUCAUUGCAAGGUGUGCACUUUGAUUUUGUGAUGGGGCUAUAACUCCUUUUCCUUUUACAAUAUUUACGAAACCUCCUCCAGCUUCAUAUUUGUUAGGAUUAGACGUGGGGGCACCGUCGCCUCAUUGGAUCACGUCGGUCCUGUUGUAAUUUUAGAUAACCGACAGUAUCCCACUUUCCCGUUCUAUUUUCGAUAUUCCAUUUCUCCCAUAAAAACUGUCAUUUUGACGGUGGCUCACGUUCUCAUUUACUUUUCCUUUUUUGGAUGAAUUUCAAGUUGGGUAAAGUACGCUACGGUGGCAACAUAAAAUACCAUAAAAAUAUGAUAUAAUUUUAUUACAAGUAUAUAAAUAGUGAGUUAUAAAUACAAGGUAGCCAGGCUCAUUUCUGGCUUUCCAUAAUGUAGACAACAGCUCCAUCGCCCCAUUUGUACAUUUACAUGAAUUCAAUUCAUUUGUAAUGAUCCUUGGUUGAAUUUCAUAAAUAAAUAGUACUAAUGCAUUAA